UACGGAAGGUCCGGGCGUUAUCCGGAUUUAUUGGGUUUAAAGGGAGCGUAGGCCGGUCUUUAAGCGUGCCGUGAAAUUUUGUGGCUCAACCAUGAGAGUGCGGCGCGAACUGGUGAUCUUGAGUGGGCGAGAAGUAUGCGGAAUGCGUGGUGUAGCGGUGAAAUGCAUAGAUAUCACGCAGAACUCCGAUUGCGAAGGCAGCAUACCGGCGCCCGACUGACGCUGAGGCACGAAAGCGUGGGGAUCGAACAGG
rnacentral:rRNA from 1 species